CACAAACACAGGUCCCAGGGCCAAACUCACUGCCCUCCCCGUUCUCCAGCACGGUGCUGUUUCCUUCAUUUAGAGUGAAACGCUCAUGUGCAGUGGAUGCUGUGGUGCUCCACCUCCAAUCCCUCUUCAGGUCCGGUGCCCUGUCCUCCAGAUGCUGGGCACACUGCCUGCCGAUUUUCACAGCUGCACCCCUCUCUGGGAACUGUGGACAAGUGAAGGGCCAACCCUGCUCCAGAGCUCCCUGCAGGAUCCGGAAAGCUGCCAGGUUUGGGACGCCUGGAGUGAGAGGCAGCUCCACAAGCGCAGUUGCUGUGCAAGCUGCUCUUCCACUGUGGCCACAGAAUCCAGCAGAUGUGAAGGCACUAUGCUUAUCAGUGGACUUUCCAAGUUGGAGGCCUCACUGUUGCUUCAAGUGUGGUAUGGCAGCACCCAUCUGCUGUGUCCAUCUACACUUUAUUAUAUAUCUAUGCACCUCAUCAGGGAAGCACGGGAACCCGCAGGCACUGCUAGUAGGAAGGCAAGCUGGCCUGGCCAUUCUGGAGAAGAACAUGGCAGUAUACUCAGUCACAUUCCAGUCGCACAGCCUGUGAUUUGGUCUAUGGCUGCCUGCACCUGAGUACAGUGUGAAAUCAAGAAACGGCACAGUUUUUAGAAACAUCUGCUUACUGAUUGAGCUUCAUUAACUCCUCAUGUGAGAUCCCAGUCCUGAACCACAGGUGCUGUUGCUUACAGUGCGUAAGAAAAAUAAAUGAGUUCAGCUUCCAGGUUAGUGCUGUGAGGUUACAUAAACUAAUCAUUAAACAUGACAGCUAAGAUAUUUUAGCUACUGUUUAACUUUAAAAGAUUUGUUAAUAAAUAAUGCUAUUGCACACUGGAGGCCUUGACCCUGUCUCUACCUGAGUCACAAACCUUUGUGUUUGUAUAGAAGUUACACUAUUUCCUACAUUUGACUUGAAAUUUAGUCACAUUUUCUUCUCAUUGUCAAUUAUCUACUUUCUCUCUCAUUCAUUCAGUCAUCAAUAAACAUUGAAAAUGAUGAAUGCAACUUGAGACCAAAAGAGUUGGGAAAAAUCCUUUCUAACAUGACUGAAUGAAAAUAUUUCAUGAAUCAAAUGCUCUCUAAAAUGUGAAUAUGAGGCAAACAACCUCCUGGACGACUAAAUGGUCAGAUGCAAAGGUGAACUGACAUGAGCUCCUAAUUGGAUUUUGUAGGCCAACAUUUUUUUAAAAAGUAUUUUUAAUAAGGAAAAUUUCAAGUGUUUACAAAAGUAGAGAAAACAGUACAACAAAUCUCCCUGUACCUAUUGUCGAGGUUCAACCAUCAUUAACUCAUGGUCAAUCAUCUGUCAUGCCCAUCUUGUUUGAUGCGUGUCUGCUUCCAAACCUGUCUGCCUUUCCAAUCCCAGCAAUGCCAGGGCAUUUCACUUUUCAAUUUAUUAUUUACAUAUAUAUCCUAAGUGGAUACAUUCAUCUACUGUACUCUACACACUGGGUUCCACAAAAGCAAGCAGACAUGUGUGGUGCUGUACAACUACUUUUAUAGAACUUGCCACCAUACAUUUAUAAAUUAUAACCAUAUAAUGUACCAACAAUGCUUUGAGGUAGAAUACUACCACUUUACAGAUGAAGGAACUGAAACACAGAGGUUAGGCAACUUGCCCACCAUCACACAGUGAGUUAAGCAGCAGAACUGAGAUUUGAACCCAAACAGUCUGGUUCCAGAGGCUAUGCCUUUAGCCAUGACACCACAGCCUUCACACAGGAAUUUACAUGCACUACUGAACGCUCAACUGCUUAGCCAAAGCUUCUGCAUUGGAAUGGUUCCUGCCUUGUUACCCCAGAUCAAUGAAUAGAGACUUUCCUUAAAACACUAUUCGGAUGGCUCUCCUCAUCCCCAAACAAUACCACAAGUUACUCCAGGGCAUAUUCUGUUUAUAAUUUUGAAAUGUCAGGUUUCAUUUCAUUCAUGGCAUCAAAACUUUGAAAUUUGCUGAGAUGAAACUUACGGCACAGUAUAUGAUCAGUUUUUAUAAAUAUUCAAUGUGUGCUUGAAAAGAAUAUAUAUUCUGCAAUUGUUGGGUUCUAUACACAUCCACUAGAUUGUUAGUCAUGUGUUCAGC
rnacentral:lncRNA from 1 species